GAAUUUGGUAAUUUUCAUAAAACUAAGUAGAAACAAAACAGUAUAUUGAUGGAGAAUGAUCAAAACAAAAUAAUAGGUAGAGACGAAGCUCAUUCCUUAAAAAUAGAAGUAAAAAACCAAGGGGGGUGGAGCAGUUCCUAAAAAAGGAUUUACCCUCAUUUCCCAACCAAAUCUAGAUCAUACUCUUGCCUAUAUUUUCCCUCCGAAUCCCUGAGUUUGGAGUUUUGCUUUUGAUCGAUCAACCGCACACGGCUGGCUCAUCUCAUAGUCUUUGGCGGAUUGCGAUUUCUUCUCCACAUUGCUCGUGUUUCUCCGUCAAUGGCGGCUGGGGAUCUUGAAGGUUCCUAGCCGACAAACGACAUGACCGAGAAAACCGAGCUCCCCCCCCUUCAACAAUUUAGGGCGAAAGUCGACAUCGGCCACAUCGCGGCUAGGGUUUACAAGGACCCGACGGUACGAUCUCGGGCUCGCAAGGUAGUGGGGAUCAAGAGGAUGACCGGGCUCACCGAUUCCGCCUCCUUCGACCGGCACGCGCAGAUGAUCUGCCCGCUGUUCGUAAAGCAGUUCCUCUUUCCUAAAAAAUUUCAAUUCUCUACAACUCCUCGCCGAGGGAUGGUUUAAGCUCCCUAGGAGCAAAAACCGCCAAACCGGAGACGAGGAAGACAACGACAUUGAAAUCCGGGCCCGGAGCCGAGGAGAUCCUUUCGCGGACGCCAACGACGUUGACGUCACGAGCGGGGAUGAUUCGCCGAUAUUCAAGUUCGGGAGGAGACAACGAGAAAGGCGAGAACUCUGGCGACGACGAUGAGUCGAAGAAGCCUAUCAAGGGGAUCCUGAAGUGUCCGUCGACGACGUUGAAUCGGAGCGGGUCGUGUAGAUCGUUAACACCGUUGUCGCCGUCGCCGUCGCCGCUGAGUCAGAAACUGAGAAGGGCGAACUCGAAAGGGUGCAAUGUAAGGUUUAAGAUGUAAUAGGUGGGCAGUUGAGUGAUUACUGAAUUAGCAAUGAGGUUUUUUUUGUUUGUUUAAAUUAGGGUAGAGUAUAUUGGUGCAUGCUUUAUCCUUUUCUUUUCUUUUCUUUUCUGAGAAGACAGAUUAAUGUGUCUGCCUAAGACUAAGUUUUGUAACAUGUAUAAUCAUUUUUAUAAUCAUAUACUAUUAAUUACUCAA